rnacentral:rRNA from 1 species
GAUGAACGCUAGCGGAGGCCUAAUACAUGCAAGUCGAACGGUAACAGGUAGCAAUACGCUGACGAGUGGCGCACGGGUGCGUAACGCGUACACAAUCUGCCUUAUACUGGGGCAUAGCCUUUGGAAACGAAGAAUAAUUCCCCAUAACAUAUAGAAGAGGCAUCUCUUUUAUAUUAAAGCUCAGGCGGUAUAAGAUGAGUGUGCGUCCGAUUAGGUAGUUGGUGAGGUAACGGCUCACCAAGCCAACGAUCGGUAGCUGGUCUGAGAGGAUGAUCAGCCACACGGGCACUGAGACACGGGCCCGACUCCUACGGGAGGCAGCAGUAGGGAAUAUUGGACAAUGGGCGCAAGCCUGAUCCAGCCAUCCCGCGUGAAGGAUGAAGGUCCUCUGGAUUGUAAACUUCUUUUCUUCGGGAAUAAAAACUGGGGUUCUCCUCAGCUUGAAGGUACCGAAGGAAUAAGCACCGGCUAACUCCGUG